AUUGAACGCUGGCGGCAGGCUUAACACAUGCAAGUCGAGCGGGGUGAUGGUGCUUGCACUAUCACUUAGCGGCGGACGGGUGAGUAAUGCUUAGGAAUCUGCCUAUUAGUGGGGGACAACAUCUCGAAAGGGAUGCUAAUACCGCAUACGUCCUACGGGAGAAAGCAGGGGAUCACUUGUGACCUUGCGCUAAUAGAUGAGCCUAAGUCGGAUUAGCUAGUUGGUGGGGUAAAGGCCUACCAAGGCGACGAUCUGUAGCGGGUCUGAGAGGAGGAUCCGCCACACUGGGACUGAGACACGGCCCAGACUCCUACGGGAGGCAGCAGUGGGGAAUAUUGGACAAUGGGGGGAACCCUGAUCCAGCCAUGCCGCGUGUGUGAAGAAGGCCUUAUGGUUGUAAAGCACUUUAAGCGAGGAGGAGGCUCUUUCGGUUAAUACCCAGAAUGAGUGGACGUUACUCGCAGAAUAAGCACCGGCUAACUCUGUGCCAGCCGCCGCCGUAA
rnacentral:rRNA from 1 species